rnacentral:sRNA from 1 species
UACCUUGUAUUUCUCGAUUGUAGCACGC